AUUGAACGCUGGCGGCAGGCCUAACACAUGCAAGUCGAACGAGUGGCGGACGGGUGAGUAAUGUCUGGGAAACUGCCCGAUGGAGGGGGAUCACUACUGGAAACGGUAGAUAAUACCGCAUCCCAUCGGAUGUGCCCAGGUGGGAUUAGCUAGUAGGUGGGGUAACGGCUCCCCUAGGCGACGAUCCCUAGCUGGUCUGAGAGGAUGACCAGCAACACUGGAACUGAGACACGGUCCAGACUCCUACGGGAGGCAGCAGUGGGGAAUAUUGCAUAAUGGGCGCAAGCCUGAUGCAGCCAUGCCGCGUGUAUGAAGAAGGCCUUCGGGUUGUAAAGUACUUUCAGCGAGGAGGCGUUACUCGCAGAAGAAGCACCGGCUAACUCCGUGCCAGCAGCCGCGGUAAUUC
rnacentral:rRNA from 1 species